GCGCAACCUAAAUACGUAUUUGGCGAAUCUGGUGUGGGCGUGGAUGUUGGGCCGAUACACGCUAAUACCCGGGGGGCAGAAAAAUCCCCACCCGAGGCGUGGAAGACACCGUCGCUCUCCUCGCGUGCGAGCGCCGCCACUGCAUCUUCCCAUCGAUCUCCGCCGACCCCGCAUCUUCCCAUACGAGCUGUGUUUCUCCAAGUUCGCUGCUGGCCAUAUCGACGUCGUCAUCCUCGAUCCAGACGAGUGCGUGUGCCAUCUCCACGGGUCUUCGACAGAUUUAGAUUGCAUUGUACCAAGGAUAAGAAAAAUGGAUAAGCGAACUAGGAAUAGAAGAGAAGAGGAGGACGAGGAGUUAAUGCUCUUUCUUUUCCCUGCUCUUUAUCUAAUUACUAAUGGAGGGAGAGAGAAAAGAGCAAGGCAUGCUUCUAUUCUACCUGGCAAGGAGAGACUUAAAGAGAUUCUUGAAGGGCAUGAGAAGAACUGUCUUGUCGCAUUCCGUAUGGAGCCUCGUAUAUUCAAAGAUAUAGCAACAUUUCUUAGAGAAGAACACAUCCUACGUGACACAAGGGGUGUUACCGUGGAAGAAAAACUAGGAAUGUUCCUUUUCAUGUUGUCCCAUAAUGCUAGUUAUGAGGAUUUACAACAUGAAUUCAAACAUAGCGGCGAAACUAUCCAUCGACACAUCCAAUCAGUUUUCCAUGUAAUCCCAACUCUCAUGUAUAGAUUUGUGAAGCCCGCCACUGGAAUUUCAGUUCAUUGGAAGAUUAGCACGGAUGAACGGUUCUUUCCUUACUUCCAAAAUUGCAUUGGAGCUAUUGAUGGAACACAUGUUCCAAUUACCAUUUCGGCAGAAAAGCAAGCCCCCUAUAGGAAUCGAAAAGGCACACUAAGUCAAAAUGUAAUGUUGGUUUGUGAUUUUGACUUGAACUUCACUUUUAUAUCAUCUGGUUGGGAGGGGUCAGCUACAGAUGCUAGGGUUCUAAGGUCUGCACUACUUGCAGGAUUCCAUGUUCCCGAGGGAAAAUAUUAUCUUGUCGAUGGAGGAUAUGCUAACACACCAUCAUUCCUUGCACCGUAUCGUGGUGUUAGAUAUCACUUGAAAGAAUUUGGCCAUGGUCACCAACGGCCAAGAAACUAUAAGGAAUUGUUUAAUCACCGACAUGCUUUAUUGCGGAACCACAUAGAGAGAGCAAUAGGAGUUUUGAAGAAGCGUUUUCUCAUUCUAAAAGUUGGAACACACCACCCAAUUAGGAACCAAGUGAAAAUAGCAGCUGCGGCAGUGUUGUUCCAUAAUAUUAUACGGAUGCACAACGGGGAUGAAGGUUGGUUGAAUAGCCAAACAAGUAACAUAUCGCCAGAAACUUUUGUUGAUCUUCCUGGAGGAGACAAUUACUAUAGCAAUGAUGUUGUGUCACUUAAUAGCCAAGUGGAUAAUGGGAACUCUGUUAGAGAUAUGAUUGCAUUGAAUAUGUGGAAUGAUUAUAGUCAACAUCGUUCAUGAUAUAUCAAGAAUGUUUGGAAGAGGAUCUCCUAGGAUGAACUUGAUCCAAGCUGCAACUAUGAAAAAAAUAUCCCCCAGAUCUACUACUAACAAGCGCAAGAAGAGAACAUCACCAAAAGUUGGUCGUCUUAGAGCAAACUGGAAUAGUGGACUAGAAAAGGGUUUAGUUGAAAUUCUUCAAGAUCACAACAAUGAUUGUUAUAAGGGUCAAAAUGGGUGGUCAUCGGAAGCAUGGAAUAGAAUUGUCAAGUUAUUCCAUGAGAAAUUCUCUUAUGUCACAUUUACAAAAUGCCAAAUCCAAGAUAAAGAGAAAGAGUUAAAGAGAGACUACAAGGCUCUUAAAGAGGCAAGGCAACAAAGCGGGGUAUCAUGGGAUGAGAGGUUGUGUAGAAUAGAAGCAGAAGAACCCAUUUGGAAUAACCUCACCACUAGUAACGAGAGACUUAAGAAGUUUCGGACUAAAUCUUUCCCACUAUUUGAGGCUUUAGGAGAGCUAUAUGAUGGAAAUAUUGCUGAGGGAACCAUGAAUUUUACUUCUAUUGAGCCUUCUCGACCUCCUGUCACACAACCUUGUCAAGGUGCUGCUACACAGCCUUCUCAAGCUGCUUUCACACUUACACAACCUUCUCAAAUCGCUUUCACACAACCUUCUCUAGCUGCUUUCGCACGACCUUCUCGAACCGCUUUUAGACAUCCUUCUCUAGCCGCUUUCCCACAGCCUUCUCAAGCCGCUUUUGCACAGCCUUCUCAAACCAUUUUCACACAGCCUUCUGAAGCCACUUUCACACAGCCUUCUGAAGCCACUUUCACACAGCCUUCUGAAGCCACUUUCACACAGCCUUCUCAAGCCGCUUUCACACAACCUUCUCAAGCUAAUAUCUCACAAGCCAUUUGUGAUGAAGAUGAUGAGCUCAGAGUAUUGGAUCCACCAGCCCCUGCAUCAGUGAGCAAAAGGGCAAAAAAUGUUGGUACUGGUAAUUCAAGAACAAGAAUUAACAAGCGUACACAAGAUGGGAAUGUGGUUGAGAUGAUGGGAAGGUUUCUAGAAAUGAAAGAAAAACAAGCUGAGGCGGAUGAAAGGGCCACAACUAAUGCAAAUGAGGAUGAUUUCCCUAUUCAAACAUGCAUUGCUAUUGUGGAUGGAAUGGAAGAGUUUUCUGAUGAUGAGAAGGUUGAUUCUUAUGAUGUUUUUAAGGAUGCCCAAAACCGGGCCAUUUUCAUGACUGCCAAAGAUGCUACGCGCAUAAAAUGGUUGAGGAAGAAGAUUGCAAGAACAUGAUAUGCUAGGCUGUGUGUGUUUUUUUUCUUUCUUUCCUCCUGAACUUGCAAAGGGCGCUAUGCCACCUGUGUUCAAAUGAUACACAGCAUCCAAAGAGAAAGCAUGAGGAGGAAACAUGAUGCACUCCUGCCUGGCAACAGAUCCUCCACAUGUCUGCACUCUUACAUCACUGGACACACUUUAUUCUUGGCAGAUAGUAAUAUAUGAAGCUAAAGUAAUGAAGGAUGAUUUUGUAGUAUCGUCCAGCAUAAAGAAAGAAAGCUGCAAUUUGUGCUAUUGUCAGAGAUGGAUAUUUAACUUUAGCAAUUUGCAACUUUUAAGUAAUCUGUUAAAUUAAAGAUGAGAUCUUGCAGACUUUUCUUAUUACCUAAUGGAUUCUCUUAUUAGCUGAUUCAAAUCUAAUCAUGCAUAUUGUAGUAAGGACUAUGUAUGUUGAAUCAAUGACUCUGGUUCAAUUUUAAAUAUCACAUGUGUUUUAAGUUUCUUAA